CUACGGGAGGCAGCAGUGGGGAAUAUUGGACAAUGGGCGAAAGCCUGAUCCAGCCAUGCCGCGUGUGUGAAGAAGGCCUUCGGGUUGUAAAGCACUUUCAGUGGGGAAGAAAGCCUUGGGGCUAAUACCCUCGAGGAAGGACAUCACCCACAGAAGAAGCACCGGCUAACUCCGUGCCAGCAGCCGCGGUAAUACGGAGGGUGCGAGCGUUAAUCGGAAUUACUGGGCGUAAAGCGCGCGUAGGCGGUCUGAUAAGCCGGUUGUGAAAGCCCUGGGCUCAACCUGGGAACGGCAUCCGGAACUGUCAGGCUAGAGUGCAGGAGAGGAAGGUAGAAUUCCCGGUGUAGCGGUGAAAUGCGUAGAGAUCGGGAGGAAUACCAGUGGCGAAGGCGGCCUUCUGGACUGACACUGACGCUGAGGUGCGAAAGCGUGGGUAGCAAACAGGAUUAGAUACCCGUGUAGUC
rnacentral:rRNA from 1 species